rnacentral:rRNA from 1 species
CAGCAGCCGCGGUAAUACGAACCGUGCGAACGUUAUUCGGAAUCACUGGGCUUAAAGCGCGUGUAGGCGGGCCGUCACGUCGGCUGCUGAAAUCCCCCGGCUCAACCGGGGAACUGGCACCGAUACGAGCGGCCUUGAGGGGGGUAGGGGGGUCUGGAACUUCCGGUGGAGCGGUGAAAUGCGUUGAGAUCGGAAGGAACGCCCGUGGCGAAAGCGAGGCCCUGGACCCUUACUGACGCUGAGACGCGAAAGCCAGGGGGGCGAACGGGAUUAGAUACCCCCGUAGUCCCUGUCUCUUAUA